rnacentral:lncRNA from 1 species
GGUUUAUUGGUACUAAGCACAGAGAAUCAACAACUGGGAUCUCAUCUUACUAAAAAGCUUCUGCACACCAAGAGAAACCUCCAACAGAGCUAAGAGACAACCUACAAUCUGAUUCCUGCCUUCCCCCAACAACAGUAGAAAAGACAAGACUUGAAAAAUGACCCAAAGUGAACAAAUAUAAUGAUGACUGCAAGGAUACUGGAAUAAAAUUUGAAGUUCAAGAGAUUGAAGAAGAUAUAUGCCAGUGUCCAUGAAGAAAUAAAAUUCACCAAAUAACAAUAUCAACAGAAUAAUGGAAAAUAAUUCCAGGAGAAACAUUAUUAUAUAAUUUGAACAACUGAUAGUAUUAUAUAUUAUGGACCAAGAGUGGGUUGAACACAUGACCUGAAUGAGUGUACACAGGAGAACUGGCAUAGCCAAGGUGCAGACGCAGGGCUCCUCCUUCUUCCUCUGACUACCAUGAAACUCUGGGGAGGUCCAGACCUACAGAAGGUGAUAGGAAAUC